GAUGAAGAACGCAGCGAAAUGCGAUAAGUAAUGCGAAUUGCAGAAUUUCCGUGAGUCAUCGAAUCUUUGAACGCACAUUGCGCCCACUGGUAUUCCGGUGGGCAUGCCUGUUCGAGCGUCAUUAUCCUCCCUCAAACCCCGGGUUUGGUGUUGGACCCAAGUUGUGUGAACAACUGGUCUCAAAGACAAUGACGGCGUCCGUGGGACCCUCGGUGCAACGAGCUUUUAGGAGCACGCAUCGAGUUGCAAGGACCUUCCGGGCCGGUCUCCUUUACCAUUUUACAAGGUUGACCUCGGAUCAGGUAGGGAUACCCGCUGAACUUAAGCAUAUCAAUAAGCGGAGGA
rnacentral:misc_RNA from 1 species